GACGAACGCUGGCGGCGUGCUUAACACAUGCAAGUCGAACGGAAAGGCCCUGCUUUUGUGGGUUGCUCGAGUGGCGAACGGGUGAGUAACACGUGAGUAACCUGCCCUUGACUUUGGGAUAACUUCAGGAAACUGGGGCUAAUAUCGGAUAGGAGCUCCUGCUGCAUGGUGGGGGUUGGAAAGUUUCGGCGGUUGGGGAUGGACUCGCGGCUUAUCAGCUUGUUGGUGGGGUAGUGGCUUACCAAGGCUUUGACGGGUAGCCGGCCUGAGAGGGUGACCGGCCACAUUGGGACUGAGAUACGGCCCAGACUCCUACGGGAGGCAGCAGUGGGGAAUAUUGCACAAUGGGCGGAAGCCUGAUGCAGCAACGCCGCGUGCGGGAUGACGGCCUUCGGGUUGUAAACCGCUUUCGCCUGUGACGAAGCGUGAGUGACGGUAAUGGGUAAAGAAGCACCGGCUAACUACGUG
rnacentral:rRNA from 1 species